AGAGCAAGCAAAUCGCGAACAUCGAUGAGUACUCAAUCAAGAACUGCGUGGCUCGGCUAAACACAAUGGGAUUGUCACGAGAGGAGAAGGUAAAAGCCCUACAAGUCUUUAAGAAUGCUGACAAUCGCGAGCUCUUCAUUUGCGUUGAUGUGGAUACUGCUCUCAUGUGGCUGCAAGGCGAAAUGGCUUAGGAAAGGUACAUGAUAGAGGGAAAAGAGCUAGAGUUCCACAUGAAGAAGCUCCAGAAAAAGAUGGACAUUGGAUCAGUUUCUGCGUCUUUACUGCGGAGAAGCAAAAUAUUUAUUUGCUGGAUUUUGUUGUUUUUCCUCUUAAAAUUCGGAUGGAUCCAAAAGAAGACUGUUCUGGGAUCUUUUUUAUUAUCAACUAUUUAAGUACAACUACGUAGUAUUAAAAUCAUGUUGUUCUUGCGUA